GGGGCUGACAUGGUUUCGACGGGAGUGGCGAACCCUGAGGUGCAUGCCGAGGAUUCAGAUCACCUCGUAAAUCCAGCUGAAAAACUUAUAGUUGCCAACGACGACAACUACGCAAUGGCCGCAUAAUUAAACCCUAGGGUUUAGUUGUACGUACUGCCCCGUCCGUAUCUGCCUGUGGGUAUUGGCGGGGGCAACAGACACAGGAUCGCGUGAAGGGUCGCCCUUACACUGGAUCGCUAAACCAAUAAUGGGCUCGCUGCUCUGUAUGGUGCCCGUCCUGCACUGUAGUGGCUAAAGCUAAUGACGGAACUAAGCAUGUAGUACCAACGGCAGAGUGCUUUCGGACGGGGGUUCGACUCCCCCCAGCUCCACCA
rnacentral:tmRNA from 1 species